CAAGAUUUCAGCGCCCGUCAUAUUUUCUUCUUUGCCUCUCUGUCAACUCUACUUGAUGGAUCACUCUCACGCACUUCUAUGCUAUUUAAAAAAAGAAGAAGAGAGAGGUAGAGGAGUAAGCUGAGUAGGUGAAUUCCCUUACAGACAAAGAAAAAUGUAUUUCUGCUUUUCUUUACCACAAACCAAUACUCCCUUAGGUCUGGCCUUGGGCCUUGCAGGAAUCUGGGAAUGGCAUGAGACAAAGCAGCAACAACAGCCCCUUAAACAAGUCUGGACAUUCUUAGAAGAUUGUCUUGCAUGCAGGUAUGCCUGGAUGGGUGUCACAGAGUGGGAAUGGAGGCAUCUAAUCUAUUCCCAGGCUCUGAAGCCUGCAGGCCAGCAACAACAGGGGCAUUAUGGUCAGACCCCAGCUUCACAGAGCUGUGCCACAGGGUCCGGUUUGGAGGUAGAGGGAAGAAUGUGCAUGUUUGUUUGGAGGUGAAGGUAGAGACGAAGAUGUUGUUACACCCCGGCCUAGGCAACCGGAGUGCAACACGAAAAAAGUAAAAAUAAAGAAAAAAAAAAAAACACACACACACAAAAAAAACCCCCCACUAAAGCUCACCACCAAAAUCCCAAAACGAAAGUAUCGACAAAUCUAUUUACAACAAACUAUUUACAACACGGGGGAGAUCGCGACCAUGACACACUGAAACACAGGGUUUAAAUACCUAGAGGGAGCAAUCAGGAAAAUGGACAACAAGAGGGAAACACAGCUGGGGCAACUCAGAACUGACGAGACAGGGAAACGUAAACUGAAAAGACUAAGAUAACACAGACUUUCAAAGUAAAACAGGAAACGCAUAACAGUCACGCCAAAAACAACACACUGACAACACCGAAACGUAACAGUUCCCCCCCACCCAAAAAUCAAACAUUUAACACCAAGUGAAAAGUUUGAUCCAGACAGACGAAGCCGAUGAAGGCUGGAGCGGUCCCACUGACCCUCCAGCAGACGACGAAGGCUGGAGCGGUCCCACGGACCCUCCAGCGAAGGCGGAUGAAGGCUGGAGCGGUCCCACGGACCCUCCAGCGACGACAAAGGCUGGGGCGGUCCCACGGACCCUCCCCUCAGCGAAGGCAGACGAAGCUGAUGAAGGCUGGAGCGGUCCCACUGACCCUCCAGCAGACGACGAAGGCUGGAGCGGUCCCUCGGACCCUCCAGCGAAGGCGGAUGAAGGCUGGAGCAGUCCCACGGACCCUCCAGCGAAGGCGGAUGAAGGCUGGAGCGGUCCCACGGACCCUCCAGCGACGACAAAGGCUGGGGCGGUCCCCGGACCCCCCAGCGAAGGCAAUCCCGGACGAGCCCCCAUAUGUUACACCCCGGCCUAGGCAACCGGAGUGCAACACGAAAAAAGUAAAAAUAAAGAAAAAAAAACACACACACAAAAAACCCCCACUAAAGCUCACCACCAAAAUCCCGAAACGAAAGUAUCGACAAAUCUAUUUACAACAAACUAUUUAUUUACAACAAAACACCAAACUAUUUACAACACGGGGGAGAUCGCGACCAUGACACACUGAAACACAGGGUUUAAAUACCUAGAGGGAGCAAUCAGGAAAAUGGACAACAAGAGGGAAACACAGCUGGGGCAACUCAGAACUGACGAGACAGGGAAACGUAAACUGAAAAGACUAAGAUAACACAGACUUUCAAAGUAAAACAGGAAACACAUAACAGUCACGCCAAAAACAACACACUGACAACACCGAAACGUAACAAUG
ensembl:lncRNA